AAUUAAGUUACUAAGAGUAUAUGGAGGAUGCCUUGGCGAUUGGAGGCGAUGAAGGACGUAGUAAAGCUGCGAUAAGCUUCGGUGAGCUGCAAACAGGCUUUGACCCGGAGAUUUCCGAAUGGGGGAACCCAGUCGUGUGUAGCACGACUAUCUCGAUUAUGAGAGGCUAACCAGGGGAACUGAAACAUCUAAGUACCCUGAGGAAGAGAAAUCAAUUUAGAGAUUUCCUUAGUAGCGGCGAGCGAAACGGAAAGAGCCUAAACCAAAGGACUUGUCCUUUGGGGUUGUAGGGCGUGUAAUAAAGUUUAUCCGAACUGAUAGUUGAACCUAGUUGGAAAGCUAGACCAUAGAGGGUGAUAGUCCCUUAAACGAAAUCGGUAAAGAAAGCGAGCACGUACCUGAGUACAGUGGGACACUUGAAAUCCUGCUUGGAAUCUGGGAGGACCAUCUCCUAAGGCUAAAUACUACCAAUCGACCGAUAGCGAAUUAGUACCGUGAGGGAAAGGUGAAAAGAACUCCGAGAGGAGAAUGAAAUAGAUCCUGAAACCAUAUAUUUACAAGCAGUGGAACCACUUUUAUCUGUGGAACCGCGUACCUCUUGCAUCAUGGGUCAGUGAGUUACGCUUCUGUAGCAAGGUUAAGCCUAUAGGUGUAGCCGUAGCGAAAGCGAGUCUGAAUAGGGCGAUUUUAGUUACAGGAGGUAGACCCGAAGCCAGUCGAUCUAUCUAUGAGCAGGUUGAAGCUGGGGUAACACCUAGUGGAGGACCGAACCGCAGAAUGUUGAAAAAUUCCCGGAUGACUUGUGGAUAGGGGUGAAAGGCCAAUCAAGGCUGGAGAUAGCUGGUUCUCCCCGAAAUAUAUUUAGGUAUAGCGUCGUGUAUGUUCAGUGGGGGUAAAGCACUGAUUGGGCUAGGGGGCCUACCAGCCUACCAAACCCAGCUAGCCUCUGAAUACCACUGUAAUUUGAGCACGGCAGUCAGCCAGCGGGUGACAAGGCUCGUUGACGAAAGGGUAAGAACCCGGACCGCCGGCUAAGGUCCCUAAAUCAAUGCUAAGUGUAAAAGGAUGUGGGAACUCCCAGACAACUAGGAUGUUGGCUUAGAAGCAGCCACCAUUUAAAGAAAGCGUAAUAGCUCACUAGUCGAGAGGUCCUGUGCCGAAGAUGUAACGGGGCUAAGCAUUGUACCGAAGCCGCGGAUAUAAGAGUAAUCUUAUAUGGUAGGGGAGCGUUGUUAGUUGGGUUGAAGCAUCACCGUAAGGUGGGAUAGAAAUAUCCGUAAAUUGUGGACUACUAACAAGUGAUUAUGCUGACAUGAGUAACGAUAAACAUGGUGAAAAACCAUGUCGCCGAAAGCCUAAGGGUUCCUGAGCCAGGGUCAUCCUCUCAGGGUUAGUCGGCACCUAAGCCGAGGCUGAAAAGCGUAGGUGAUGGAAAGUAGGUUAAUAUUCCUGCACCACGAUUUUAUAUGAUGGAGGGACGGAGAAGGGUAGGUCUAAUGGGUAAUGGAAUACCAUGGAGAGUAUGUAGGUAUAUGUUGGGCAGGCAAAUCCACCCGACAUGCUGAGGUACUGGACCAUCUGCGACUACGGUCAAAGAGAAGUGAUUGAUCCCAUGCUUCCUAGAAAAUCUUCUAAGUUUAAUAAAAUUGUGACCGUACUACAAACCAACUCAGGUGGGCGAGUAGAGAAUACUAAGGCGUUUGAGUGAACCGUGAUUAAGGAACUAGGCAUAUUGCAGCCGUAACUUCGGGAGAAGGCUGGCCGUUGUUGGUCAAGGAUUUUACAUCCUGCAGCUGAUGAUGGUGACACAAACCAGGGGGUAGCAACUGUUUAAUAAAAACACAGGACUCUGCAAACUCGUAAGAGGAUAUAUAGGGUCUGACACCUGCCCGGUGCCGGAAGGUUAAAAGGAUUUGUUAACAAUUUAUUGUAAAGCUGAGAAUUGAAGCCCCGGUGAACGGCGGCCGUAACUAUAACGGUCCUAAGGUAGCGAAAUUCCUUGUCGGGUAAGUUCCGACCUGCACGAAUGGUGUAAUGAUUUCCCCACUGUCUCAAUCACGGCCUCAGUGAAAUUGAAUUGUGCGUGAAGAUGCGCACUACCCGCGGCAAGACGGAAAGACCCCAUGGACCUUUACUAUAGCUUGGCGCUGAUUGUGGGAGAUUGAUGUGUAGGAUAGGUGGGAGACGUAGAAUCUGGGACGCUAGUCUCGGAGGAGUCAACCUUGAAAUACCACCCUUUAAUCUUUUGCAAUCUAACCUAAACGAGUGAAUCCUCGUUGGAGACAGUGUCUGGUGGGUAGUUUGACUGGGGCGGUCGCCUCCCAAAGAGUAACGGAGGCGCGCGAAGGUGGGCUCAGGUUGAUUGGAAACCAACUGACGAGUGUAAAGGCAUAAGCCCGCUUGACUGCGAGAGCGACGGUUCGAGCAGGUACGAAAGUAGGCCUUAGUGAUCCGGUGGUGCUUCAUGGAAAGACCAUCGCUCAACGGAUAAAAGGUACCCUGGGGAUAACAGGCUUAUCUCUCCCAAGCGUUCACAGCGACGGGGAGGUUUGGCACCUCGAUGUCGGCUCGUCACAUCCUGGGGCUGAAGUAGGUCCCAAGGGUUAGGCUGUUCGCCUAUUAAAGUGGCACGCGAGCUGGGUUUAAAACGUCGUGAGACAGUUUGGUCCCUAUCUGCCGUGGGCGUAGGAAAUUUGAGGGAAGUUGCUCCUAGUACGAGAGGACCGGAGUGAACGUGCCUCUAGUGGACCUGUUGUUCUGCCAAGAGCAUAGCAGGGUAGCCAUGCACGGAAGGGAUAACCGCUGAAAGCAUCUAAGCGGGAAGCCCCUCCCAAGAUUAUAUUUCCCCUCUGAUUUAUCAGACUAAAGAUCCGUUCAAGACUAGGACGUUGAUAGGAUGGGUGUGUAAGCGUUGUGAGGCGUUUAGCUAACCAUUACUAAUAGAUCGUGAGGCUUAAUUUU
rnacentral:rRNA from 1 species